rnacentral:rRNA from 1 species
AGUUGAUGCUGGCAGUGGCUGCAUGUGCUCGCUCCUAACAAUCUUCAUCCAAACACCUGUGCACAUUUAGAGAGGGUCUCCGAGUUAUCCUUGGAGUCCCUUCUUAUUACACACUAGUUUUUAAUAUUGAACGUGAUUGUGCCGUGAGGCCUUAAUAUUAAUACAACUUUUAACAACGGAUCUCUUGGCUCUCGCAUCGAUGAAGAACGCAGCGAAAUGCGAUAAGUAAUGUGAAUUGCAGAAUUCAGUGAAUCAUCGAAUUUUUGAACGCACCUUGCGCUCCCUGGUAUUCCGGGGAGCACGCCUGUUCGAGUGUCGUGAAAUUCUCAAACCGGGAUGCUUUUUGUUUCUCGGCUUGGUGUUGGGCUUUGCAGUUCCUUUGAUUGGGACAGCUGGCCUCAAAAGCAUUAGCUGGCUUUUCAUGUGGUAUUGGUUCUACUCAGCGUGAUAAUGAUCUGACCGCCGAGGACAUCUUUCGGGAUGGCCAAUUCUCAUUUGGGCUGCUUCUAAUUUUGGUAGAGCGGAUUCUGAAUCUGUUCCACUUUUCAGCUUUUGACCUCGAAUCAGGUGGGACUACCCGCUGAACUUAAGCAUAUCAAUAAGCCGGAGGAACA